GUGUUUGCUUUGGCAGCACACACGCUAACACUGAGCGAUGCAGAGAAGAUUAGCAUGGGCCCUGUGCAAGGAUGACUGGCAAAUUUGUGAAACAUUCCAUAUAGUU
ensembl:snRNA U6 U6 spliceosomal RNA